GGCCAGACUCCUACGGGAGGCAGCAGUGGGGAAUAUUGCACAAUGGGGGAAACCCUGAUGCAGCGACGCCGCGUGAGCGAUGAAGUAUUUCGGUAUGUAAAGCUCUAUCAGCAGGGAAGAAGAUGACGGUACCUGACUAAGAAGCCCCGGCUAACUACGUGCCAGCAGCCGCGGUAAUACGUAGGGGGCAAGCGUUAUCCGGAUUUACUGGGUGUAAAGGGAGCGUAGACGGCGAUGCAAGCCAGGAGUGAAAGCCCGGGGCCCAACCCCGGGACUGCUCUUGGAACUGCGUGGCUGGAGUGCAGGAGGGGCAGGCGGAAUUCCUGGUGUAGCGGUGAAAUGCGUAGAUAUCAGGAGGAACACCGGUGGCGAAGGCGGCCUGCUGGACUGCAACUGACGUUGAGGCCCGAAAGCGUGGGGAGCAAACAGGAUUAGAUACCCCAGUAGU
rnacentral:rRNA from 1 species